GCAACAACAAAAGCUGCAACCCAGCAACAAAGAAUUAUUCCACAUUGCUUAACAAGGCUGUCCUCGUGAAUGGUAAAAAAUGCAGGCCUUCAUGAGGAUUAAUGAAAUAAAGAACAAAGAAAGUACCUGAAAGCUGGAAGGAAGAAAUUC